rnacentral:rRNA from 1 species
GACGAACGCUGGCGGCGUGCUUAACACAUGCAAGUGGAGCGACGAACCAGGCUUCGGCCUGGGGCAGAGCCGCGAACGGGUGAGUAACACGUGGGUAACCUGCCCCGAUGACUGGGACAACCCGAGGAAACUCGGGCUAAUACCGGAUGUGCUGCUCUCGCUCAAGUGAGAGUAGGAAAGGAAGCUUCGGCCUCCGCAUCGGGAUGGGCCCGCGGCCCAUUAGCUGUCGGUGAGGUAACGGCUCACCAAGGCUUCGAUGGGUAGCUGGUCUGAGAGGACGAUCAGCCACACUGGGACUGAGACACGGCCCAGACUCCUACGGGAGGCAGCAGUGGGGAAUCUUGCGCAAUGCGCGAAAGCGUGACGCAGCAACGCCGCGUGGGGGAAGACGGCCUCGGUU